rnacentral:lncRNA from 1 species
GUCCCCAAAAUGAGGGGGGGUCCCCAAGGCCUAAAGGGUCCCCAAAAUGGAGAAGGUCCCCAAAAUGGGAGGGGUCACCAAGGUGGGGACGGUCUCCAAAAUGGGGGGUCCCAUUGGGGUCCCAUGGGUGGGAAGUCCCCAAACUGGGGGUCCCCUAAGUGGAGAAGGUCCCCAAAAUGGAGGGUCCCAUGAGGGGGCCCCCAAAUUGAGGACGGUUCCCAAAAUGGGGGUCCCAUGGGUGAUGUCCCCAAACUGGGGGGGUUCCCCAAAUUUGGGGAGGGGGUUCCAUGGAGGGUCCCCAAAAUGAGGGUCCCCAAAAUGGGGGUACCGUGGGUAGGAGAUCCCCGAAAUGGGGUCACCAAGGUGGAGAACGUCCCCAAAAUGGAGGGGUCACCGAGGUGGGGACGGUCUCCAAAAUGGGGGAUCCCAGAGGGGGUCCCAUGGGUGAGGUCACCAAAAUGGGGGGGUCACCAAGGUGGAGAAGGUCCCCAGAAUGGGGGGGGGUCCCAUGAAGGGGUUUCCCAAAACGGGGGUGUCCCAAAAUGGCCCCCCAAGUCCUGGGGGGUCCCCAAGGUGGAGAAAGUCCCCAAAAUGGGAGAUUCCAUUGAAGGUCCCCAAAAUGGGGGGGUCCCCAAGGUGGAGAAGGUCCCCAAAAUGGAGAAGGUCACCAAGGUGGGGACGGUCCCCAAAAUUGGGGUGUCCCCAAAAUGGGGGGGUCCCAUUAAAAGUCCCCAAAAUGGGGGGGUCACCAAGGUGGGGAUGGUCCCCAAAAUGGGGGGGUCCCCAAAGUGGGGGGGGGGUCCCCAAAUUAGGGUGGGGGUCCCCAAAUUAGGGUAUGGGGGGUUCCCCAAACUGGGGGUGGUGGGGCCAACCCAGCGCUACCUCCCAGCUCUGCUCACUGCCAGGGGACCCCCCAAUUUUCCUCCUCGGCUUAAUUAAGUUUUAAUUAAUUCUUAAUUAAUUCCUGGGGCUCACUCAUUAAUUUUUAAAUCAUUUUUUUCCCUUCCUCCUUUGAUUCCUGGCGGGUUUUUUUGGGGUUUAUUUUUUUUUUUUAAAGCCUCGAGGUUUUUAUUUAUUAUUAUUAAUUAAAUAAAAAAAAUUAAAAUUAAUGGAUAAAAAAAUAU